AACGCGAAGAACCUUACCUGGGCUAGAAUGCAGUCUGACUGAUUCUGAAAGGUGUCUUUGUAGCAAUACACAGAUUGUAAGGUGCUGCAUGGCUGUCGUCAGCUCGUGCCGUGAGGUGUUGGGUUAAGUCCCGGAACGAGCGCAACCCCUAUCACUAUUUGCCAGCACGUAAUGGUGGGAACUCUAGUGAAACUGCCGUCGUAAGACGCGAGGAAGGAGGGGAUGAUGUCAAGUCAUCAUGGCCUUUAUGCCCAGGGCUACACACGUGCUACAAUGGUGGGAACAAAGGGCUGCUACCUGGUAACAGGCUGCUAAUCUCAAAAAUCCCAUCUCAGUUCGGAUUGAGGUCUGCAACUCGACCUCAUGAAGCUGGAAUCGCUAGUAAUCGUAUAUCAGCAAUGAUACGGUGAAUACGUUCCCGGGCCUUGUAAACACCG
rnacentral:rRNA from 1 species